rnacentral:rRNA from 1 species
UUGAAAGGGAAACGAUUGAAGUCAGUCGGACCCGCGGGGANCAACCUUUCGAGUGGGGGUUUUGGAGUUUUGAAGAGUGUCAAAACCUUUGAGAUUUCAAAAUUUUCGCUCUUUUGGUGUACUUUCUCGUGGGUAGGUUAACAUCGAUUUUGAUCAUCAUAAAAAGAUUGGAGGAAUGUAGCUUCGAUCUUGUAUUGAAGUGUUAUAGCCUUUGGUAAAUGUGAUGAUUAGGAUCGAGGAUUGCAACGAAUACCCUUUUGGGCUAUCCGCCUGAUCUCUGAUACGUGGCCUUGGUAUCGAAAGCGUGCUUAUGGUAUUGAGGUAUUACGGUCAAAAGGUUAGAACGGAUUACAUUCGUUAAGGAUGUUGACGUA